CCUACGGGAGGCAGCAGUGGGGAAUAUUGCACAAUGGACGAAAGUCUGAUGCAGCAACGCCGCGUGAGGGAUGAAGGCCUUCGGGUUGUAAACCUCUUUUAGCAGGGAAGAAGCGAAAGUGACGGUACCUGCAGAAAAAGCACCGGCUAACUACGUGCCAGCAGCCGCGGUAAU
rnacentral:rRNA from 1 species